GGAAGGAUCAUUCACGCAAUAUCCACGUCAUGUUAAAUCGGCGCGCUCGAGGGCAACCGCCAAAAGCCAAUUGUCAUUCAGCUUUUAUAGUUGUCUAAUAAUAGGAUAAAAGAACUUUAAGUUCAUGACGAUUGAUGCCUUGGUUCGGGAAUCGAUGAAGGACGCAGCAAAGUGCGAUAAGCACUGUGAAUUGCAGAAUUUAGCGAAUCAGCAGAUCUCUUAACGCAAAUGGUGUCAGGUAAACUUGUUUGCUUGACAGUCAUGCUUCAGUAUUGCACUUUAUGCACUAAACACGCAUUUUUGCUGCCUCGAUUCGUCGUUGGUAGUGCUUGGUUCGCUAAGUCAAACUGGCGAAUGGGAAUAGCUCGACGUUAUUAACUUGUUAACUAAAUGUCAGAGUAACUGCUAAUCAAUCUGAAGUAUGUCAGACUACCCGCUGAACUUAAGCAUAUCAUUAAGCGGAGGAAAAGAAACUAACUAGGAUUCCCUUAGUAAUGGCGAAUGAACAGGGAGGAGCUCAGUGGUGAAUCAGGGGUUUCCUCUGAAAUGUACCAUUAGGGUUAGCCAGUGCAUUGCGAAGUUUAACUCCUCUGGAAUGAGGGACCAUAGAGGGUGAUAGUCCCGUAUACACUUCUGCUUGUACGUUCGGCUGGCUCUGCAACGAGUCGCGCUCUUUGGGAGUAGAGCGUAAAAGGGUGGUAGAUUCCAUCCAAAGCUAAAUAUUUUCCCGAAACCAAUAGAGAACAAGUACCAUGAGGGAAAGGUGAAAAGAACUUUGGAAAGAGGGUUGAAAGUGCCUGAGAUCGUCAUGGAGGAAGCGAAUGUCGUCCGGUAUCUUGGCUUGAUUCGUAUGGAUGUGUCUGCAGUCAAUUGGCGCUUGCUUAGCACUUGCCCUGAAACUGUUAUGGCAUUGAAAUGCGAUUUCAAGUUGAGUUUGUGGUACCUGCUAACAUUCACAUUGACACAGUUGAAGACAGAUGCCCUCGGGUGUCUCGUCCCAGCUGAGAUGUGAAGGUGGCAGAUUCGAAGGGCUGCAUCCAACGCUGGAUCACGGAGUUGGAGUACGUGCAAAUUGUCUCUCUGAGACCAUGCGUGCGAUAUUUCUCUCUGAGACCUAGUGCGUUGCAGUCCGUAGUAUCACCAAAGGAUGAUAUCCGACCCGUCUUGAAACACGGACCAAGGAGUCUACCGUACGUGCGAGUGUGUGAGAUUUAAUCUUCUACGCGUAACGAAAGUGAUAUCUUCUUGAAUGCUUGCAUUUGUAGAAGGUACCAACCCAGAUCUUCGGAAAUGGGCUUGAGUAUGAGCACGUACGAUAGGACCCGAAAGAUGGUGAACUAUGCCUGAGUAGGGUGAAGCCAGGGGAAACUCUGGUGGAAGCUCGUAGCGAUACUGACGUGCAAAUCGUUCGUCAAACUUGGGUAUAGGGGCGAAAGACUAAUCGAACCAUCUAGUAGCUGGUUCCCUC
rnacentral:misc_RNA from 1 species